rnacentral:rRNA from 1 species
UCGUCAGCUUGUGUCGUGAGAUGUUGGGUUAAGUCCCGUAACGAGCGCAACCCUUGUCCUUAGUUACCAGCACCUCGGGUGGGCACUCUAAGGAGACUGCCGGUGACAAACCGGAGGAAGGUGGGGAUGACGUCAAGUCAUCAUGGCCCUUACGGCCAGGGCUACACACGUGCUACAAUGGUCGGUACAAAGGGUUGCCAAGCCGCGAGGUGGAGCUAAUCCCAUAAAACCGAUCGUAGUCCGGAUCGCAGUCUGCAACUCGACUGCGUGAAGUCGGAAUCGCUAGUAAUCGUGAAUCAG